GUACACGCUGUGACUAGCAUAUCAAUAAGCGGAGGAAAAGAAACUAACAAGGAUUCCCUCAGUAACGGCGAGUGAAGCGGGAAGAGCUCAAAUUUGAAAUCUUGAAAGGUCACCUUUCACGAAUUGUAGUUUAAAGAAGUGUUUUCUGUUACGAUCGUAAUAUAAGUUCUUUGGAAUAGGACAUCACAGAGGGUGAGAAUCCCGUCUAUGAUUGCGAUUUGUAGCUUUGUGAUACACUUUCAAAGAGUCGGGUUGUUUGGGAAUGCAGCCCAAAACGGGAGGUAAAUUUCUUCUAAGGCUAAAUAUUGGCGAGAGACCGAUAGCGAACAAGUACCGUGAGGGAAAGAUGAAAAGAACUUUGAAAAGAGAGUUAAAUAGUACGUGAGAUUGUCAAAAGGGAAGCGUUUAACACCAGUGUUGUUUUCUGAAAAUCAACCUCUGUUAGCUUUAUGCAUGUUUGUUUAGACCUAAUCAGCUAUCUUUCAUGUUCUAUUGUUUGCAGUGGUGCACUUUUCAGUUUACAGGUCAACAUCAGUUUUUUUUACCGUAAAAAAGUUAAAGAAAGGUAGCUCAUGGCUCCGGUCGUGAGUGUUAUAGUCUUUUUCCUAUGCGGUAGGAGAGACUGAGGUCUGCAGUGUAGGCUAUUUGGCUAGAUACUCAGGUGCUAUGUGAUACCAUUUCAUAAACAACUUGUUGAUUAUGUUUUGUCUAUUGCAUACUCGCUUGUACUAUCAUACCUACGCUUAGGAUGUUGAGUAGCGACAUACGCAC
rnacentral:rRNA from 1 species